rnacentral:lncRNA from 1 species
UGAUUUUUAAGCACAUGCGGAAGCAAAAAUAAAUCCCCUGACAAUAACCAUCUCAGGAUAGGAAAGUAGGAUACGAAUUCACGAAACAAACAUGCUUUUAUAUAUACAGUGAGUCAUGUACAAAAGUCUAUGACCAAAAGACUACAAAAGACUAGCCUUCCAAAAGAAGCGGUCAGUUAAGCGGUCCUAACUGACCUACACUUCCGAUCACCUCCUCUCAGCUCCAGGUCCUCCACUCGACGACCCUAAAAAUAUUGUCCCACAACAGGGUGAGAUAAAAUCUUAGCGAGUCUAAGCUCUAAACCCCAAUUAGGAGGGAAAUACACCUAGAAGCGUCCUAACCACGCAAUCAUACAAUUAGCAUAGAGAACUUACUUCGCCUCAGUUCCACCCUGCAGGUCAGCACAGUUCAUAUACAUUAUGUAUAGAAUCGAUACAUCCAGCAAUUGAAACGCAUCACUCAACUCAAUAAAUUACAAGGGUCCAGAUUAUAGGGCAAAUCGUUAUGACACAUCCCAUACCAUGUCACAUAAUUUUGUCCCAUAAUCCAGCGCAUCAAACUCAACCAUCAUGCAUUCCAAUUGUUAAUUACACCCCUCAAGGGUACAGCCAACUCUAUUGGCGAUCUUCUGGCAUUGCCAAGCGUUGUCUCACCCCCAUUGAGCACGGUUACGUCUCUCUCAGAGACGACUUCUCCGAAGGGGCGUAGGUCCAGAAUCUACUGCGACUCGAAUACAACCUACUCACAAGUUCGGUGUCUUCUGGCAUAGCCAGGCUUCGUCUCCCACCAUGAGCACAGCGACGUCUCUCAAUUAGACGGCUUCCUCGAAGGGGCGUAGGUCCAAAAUCUACUGCGACCCGAGUCCCAAUGAAUGGGUAACAUCCGGCUUAACAAUCCAUGAUGGUUUCUCUUAACCAACAUACGACCACUCAAUCUGGCCCAGGACACUGUGCAUUGCACUCAAAUGCCUCCAUUAAAUAGUGAUCCUGGCCUAUUUUCUUCGUAUUAAAAACGUCCCGAAAAUAGUCGUGUGUGGGUACACGGUCAAUUUGAACCAGAAGACUGAUACCUACCGUUUUCAAACCCCACUAUUUGAUAUAGUACUUAAAAUCCAUUUUCGGUGUUAAAACCCGACACCCAGAAUUUUCUAAAUAAAUAUCAAAAUCCACAAAUUUUGGAAUUAAAUACUCAAAAUUCCAAUCAACACUCAAUUUGCACAACUAACACUCAAUUGCAGAAAUGAACCACGCCAUUACAAUCAGCACGAAAUUCCGGCCACCGACUAUUCCGGCCUAAAUUCUGGAAAAAUAAUUAAUAAAUAAUUAUUUCGAAAAUUAAUUAAUUAAUUCAAUUUAAUUUCUAAAAAUACUAACCUUGGCCAAAAUUAUUAAAUUAAAUACCAAUACAGACCCGGAAAAUUCCCUAACCCUUCUAGAUAAAUAGUACAAUUUAUUUAGGCCUUAGCUAAACCAUGCUAACCACCUAACAUGCUCAAUUAAAUAAUUAAAUUUCUAAUUUAAUCUAACUAACCACCUAAUUCCUAAUAAAAUAAAUCUAAACACCCCUUAAACGUCAUUAGCCUACUAAGCAGAGUUUAGAGUAUAAACUCACCGGCUAAUUGCGGAAACCGAUCCACCGUGACGACGACGCGAUAGCGGCCGAAAUCAAAAUUUUCGGCGGCGUCGACAAACUUGGGCUGGGCCUAAACUUGGCCCAACACAACUCAGCAAGGCUGAAUUUCGGUCUUGGGCUUCUGCAGGGCUACUGGUCGCGAGCUUGGGCUUUCUUCGCAGGCCCAAAAUGGGCUGAACUUUAAAUGGGCUAAAACCAACUGAACUUGGGCCUGAGCUUGGGCUUCAAAAUCUGCUGGAGAUGGGCUUAAAAUCAUUGUGCUAAAGAUGGGCUUGUGGAUGAAUUCGUGGGCUGAUGAUGCGGGCUGGAUACGGGCCCAACUGCUGACAAAAUUCGCUAGCUUCGUGGACAAUGAUGCUGCCUUGCUUGGACUUCGCUGGCACACGAGGAAAGCAGCUACUGGUGGUAAAGAUGAAGACACGAGGCAGAAGGAGCUGGACGUUGGCCGCGUGGAGAGGGGAUCGCACGAUGAAGCUGCUGGAUUAAAUUUCGAUGGACUCCUCUGUUUGCGCAAAUAAGUGGAGAUUGGCGGUCAUCACACCUGCUGGAGUUGACCUCGAUGGAUUGAAGACACGAGGAGGGGAUGCGGAUCUUCGGGGCAGCUGCUUCGGACGUGUGGCCGUAGAUGGAGCAGCUUCGUUGGGUCUUCAAUUCGGCUGAAGAAGACCACGCGGGCAGUUGGCUGGCAUCCACAAAUUUGCCGACAGCACGGAGUUGGGCUGUGCGAUGCAGACGUGAGGUUUCGGUGGAGGUUUAGGUCAACACCGGCUUCAAUUGUUGACUGAAGAAGGUGGAGACUCGGACGUGUGGGCGCUGGUCUUCGUGAGGGAGAGAGGGACGCUCGGUGAGUGGAGAUGUGGGCGAGUGAUUGUGGUUCGGUCGGUGGGGACAGCAAGAGAGGCAACAGGGACUUGGUGAUUGAUGAAAAAUAAAGGGAAAAUGAAAGCAAGGUAGGAGCCAACGGAGAGGGAGAGAGAAAUGGUCGAGCAGGAAGAAGAUGAUGAAGACCGAAGGGGAAAGGAGCGUAUGGGAGAAGCUUGAGCGAGAGAAAGCC